UUUGCUUUUGAUUGAUAUUGUGUAUGACUAUGAUUGGAUCUUCGUUGCUAUGAAUUACAAUGUUUAGUCAGCCCUUGAUCUUUGAAAGUGCUCUGCAUUUUUGUUUUGUGGUCUCAGAAAGAGCUAGUGAGAAACCACCUAUUCAUGUUGCUUCAUGCUUGUUUUGAUUGAAUUGUUGGUAUCUGAAACUCAUUAUUAUUUGCUCGCUAGUUGAUUA
rnacentral:lncRNA from 1 species